rnacentral:rRNA from 1 species
UUCCUACGGGGGGCAGCAGUGGGGGAUAUUGGACAAUGGGGGAAACCCUGAUCCAGCGAUGCCGCGUGAGGGAAGAAGGUUUUCGGAUUGUAAACCUCUGUGGAGGGGGACGAUAAUGACGGUACCCCUUUAGGAAGCCACGGCUAACUACGUGCCAGCAGCCGCGGUAAUACGUAGGUGGCGAGCGUUGUCCGGAAUUACUGGGUGUAAAGGGAGCGUAGGUGGCAGGGCAAGUCAGAUGUGAAAACCCGGGGCUCAACUCCGGGAGUGCAUUUGAAACUGUCCAGCUAGAGUGCAGGAGAGGG